CCAAUAGCGUAUAUUAAAGUUGUUGCAGUUAAAAAGCUCGUAGUUGAAUUUCGGGAUCAAAUUGUCGGUCGUGCCUCGGUACGAACUGGUAUUAUUGGUUCCUACCUUCUGAAGAACCGCGAUGUCAUUAAUUUGGUGUCGUGGGAAAUCAGGACUGUUACUUUGAAAAAAUUAGAGUGUUUAAAGCAGGCUUACGCUUGAAUACAUUAGCAUGGAAUAAUGAAAUAGGACGUUUGAUUCUAUUUUGUUGGUUUCUAGGAUUGACGUAAUGAUUAAUAGGGAUAGUUGGGGGCAUUAGUAUUCAAUUGUCAGAGGUGAAAUUCUUGGACUUAUUGAAGACUAACUACUGCGAAAGCAUUUGCCAAGGAUGUUUUCAUUAAUCAAGAACGAAAGUUAGGGGAUCGAAGACGAUCAGAUACCGUCGUAGUCUUAACCAUAAACUAUGCCGACUAGGGAUCGGAUGAUGUUAAUUUUUUAAUGACUCAUUCGGCGCCUUACG
rnacentral:rRNA from 1 species